AGGCAACCCCUUUUCUUGAUAAUUAAAACUAGAGAAGGAGGUGUUAAUUUGUUCAUACAUCAAUUCUUUCAACUCUUCAGACUUGCUGAGAUGUCCUCAUCUGUGAAGUUGGUCUAGUAAGAUGAAGUACAUA